AUUGAACGCUGGCGGCAGGCUUAACACAUGCAAGUCGAGCGGGGGAAGGUAGCUUGCUACCGGACCUAGCGGCGGACGGGUGAGUAAUGCUUAGGAAUCUGCCUAUUAGUGGGGGACAACAUCUCGAAAGGGAUGCUAAUACCGCAUACGUCCUACGGGAGAAAGCAGGGGAUCUUCGGACCUUGCGCUAAUAGAUGAGCCUAAGUCGGAUUAGCUAGUUGGUGGGGUAAAGGCCUACCAAGGCGACGAUCUGUAGCGGGUCUGAGAGGAUGAACCGCCACCCUGGGACUGCGACCCGGCCCAGACUCCUACGGGAGGCAGCAGUGGGGAAUAUUGGACAAUGGAGGGAACCCUGAUCCAGCCAUGCCGCGUGUGUGAAGAAGGCCUUAUGGUUGUAAAGCACUUUAAGCGAGGAGGAGGCUACUUUAGUUAAUACCUAGAGAUAGUGGACGUUACUCGCAGAAUAAGCACCGGCUAACUCUGUGCCAGCAGCCGCGGUAACAC
rnacentral:rRNA from 1 species